rnacentral:rRNA from 1 species
GGAUAACAUACCGAAAGGUAUGCUAAUACGGGAUAAUAUAUUUGAGAGGCAUCUCUUAAAUAUCAAAGGUGAGCCAGUACAGGAUGGACCCGCGUCUGAUUAGCUAGUUGGUAAGGUAACGGCUUACCAAGGCGACGAUCAGUAGCCGACCUGAGAGGGUGAUCGGCCACAUUGGAACUGAGACACGGUCCGAACUCCUACGGGAGGCAGCAGUGGGGAAUAUUGCACAAUGGGCGAAAGCCUGAUGCAGCAACGCCGCGUGAGUGAUGAAGGCCUUCGGGUCGUAAAACUCUGUCCUCAAGGAAGAUAAUGACGGUACUUGAGGAGGAAGCCCCGGCUAACUACGUGCCAGCAGCCGCGGUAAUACGUAGGGGGCUAGCGUUAUCCGGAUUUACUGGGCGUAAAGGGUGCGUAGGCGGUCUUUCAAGUCAGGAGUGAAAGGCUACGGCUCAACCGUAGUAAGCUCUUGAAACUGGGAGACUUGAGUGCAGGAGAGGAGAGUGGAAUUCCUAGUGUAGCAGUGAAAUGCGUAGAUAUUAGGAGGAACACCAGUUGCGAAGGCGGCUCUCUGGACUGUAACUGACGCUGAGGCACGAAAGCGUGGGGAGCAAACAGGAUUAGAUACCCUGGUAGUCCACGCUGUAAACGAUGAGUACUAGGUGUCGGGGGUUACCCCCCUCGGUGCCGCAG